rnacentral:rRNA from 1 species
ACGAGUUUGAUCAUGGCUCAGAACGAACGCUGGCGGCAGGCUUAACACAUGCAAGUCGAACGGUUGCAGCAAUGCAGCAGUGGCAGACGGGUGAGUAACACGUGGGAACCUUCCUAGGGGUACGGAACAACUCAGGGAAACUUGAGCUAAUACCGUAUACGUCCGUGAGGAGAAAGAUUUAUCGCCCUUAGACGGGCCCGCGUCGGAUUAGCUAGUUGGUGGGGUAACGGCCUACCAAGGCGACGAUCCGUAGCUGAUCUUAGAGGAUGAUCAGCCACACUGGGACUGAGACACGGCCCAGACUCCUACGGGAGGCAGCAGUGGGGAAUCUUGGACAAUGGGCGCAAGCCUGAUCCAGCCAUGCCGCGUGAGUGAAGAAGGUCUUCGGAUUGUAAAGCUCUUUUGCCAGGGACGAUAAUGACGGUACCUGGAGAAUAAGCCCCGGCAAACUUCGUG